GACGAACGCUGGCGGCGUGCCUAAUACAUGCAAGUAGAACGCACAGUUUAUACCGUAGCUUGCUACACCAUAGACUGUGAGUUGCGAACGGGUGAGUAACGCGUAGGUAACCUGCCUGGUAGCGGGGGAUAACUAUUGGAAACGAUAGCUAAUACCGCAUAAUAUUAAUUAUUGCAUGAUAAUUAAUUGAAAGGUGCAAUUGCACCACUACCAGAUGGACCUGCGUUGUAUUAGCUAGUAGGUGAGGUAACGGCGCACCUAGGCGACGAUACAUAGCCGACCGGCGAGGGUGGUCGGCCACACUGGGACUGAGACACGGCCCAGACUCCUACGGGAGGCAGCAGUAGGGAAUCUUCGGCAAUGGACGAAAGUCUGACCGAGCAACGCCGCGUGAGUGAAGAAGGUUUUCGGAUCGUAAAGCUCUGUUGUAAGAGAAGAACGGGUGUGAGAGUGGAAAGUUCACACUGUGACGGUAUCUUACCAGAAAGGGACGGCUAACUACGUG
rnacentral:rRNA from 1 species